UUUCCGUAGGUGAACCUGCGGAAGGAUCAUUAUUGUAUAACCGAGGUGCGAGGGCUGUCGCUGACCCGAAAGGUCGUGCACGCCCGAGUGCCCUCACACAGAUCCAUCUCACCCCUAUGUGCACCACCGCGUGGGUCCCCCUUUGGCUUGUUCGGAGGGGGGCUUACGUUUUCACACAAACUUUGUAUGCAGUGUAGAAUGUAUUUUUUGUUUUUGCGAUCACGCAAUCAAUACAACUUUCAACAACGGAUCUCUUGGCUCUC
rnacentral:misc_RNA from 1 species